rnacentral:sRNA from 1 species
AAAGCACUAAGGGAGCCGAGGCUCCCCUUAAGGUGGUACGUGCUUUGUUUUUAUUGUUAUACCAGGCCUGUUGUUUUUCUUGUCUGGCCCGUCCCGGUCGUAUACCGACCGCCGGGAAGGUUCCUAGCUGGAACCAAUAGCAAACGGAUUACUUUGAUGCUGAGUUGUAAUGAUCCGGUACGGGUGCUGCCUUAAGGCAGUU